rnacentral:lncRNA from 1 species
AAAGAGAUCCUAGACAUACUCAUUGGCUUCUUCUAACCCUUAGCAAAGGCAUGCUUGGUUGCAUUUGAGAUACGACGGAGAAAGAAGGCCACUAAGAAAAAUUGUUGCCUACUUCGACUUAAUGAAGUUUUAGAACUAUUGCUCCAGCACAUUCAACUUUAUUGGCAAGCAUGGUCUGAAUUAUAAGAAGUGUUAUAUGUCCAUUCUUAGAUCCUGGACACAUUGCAUUGUGAAGGACUGAAGUUGAGAACCUGGACACAUAGGGCGAAGCCAUUAACAAAACGAGCAGUUACAUGGAUCAUGUAAGAAGUCUUCUCCUUGAGACAAUGUAGCCAAUUGUGGAACCCCUGCUUUCCACGGCCACCGCCCGCCGCCUUGAUCUUUAUGCUAAUGGUGGAAUCCCUGCAGAACCAGCACAAGGCAUGCAUCAGUCACAAGGACACACAAUCAUCCCAGAUCAAGCAAAUAUGAUAAGAAUCCCAUAGGGCGGCCAAUUCUAAUAGGGAGCAAAAUAUGUCUCAACGGAAACAAAAAAUUAGUAGAAGUAGCAGCAGCACUCAUACUGGGCUAGGAUAGCUUCGGUUCUACUCUCUUUGACUUUUCAGCCGCAUACACAUUGAACGUCGCCUAAAUCUCAUGACUUCUGUGCUCUAAUCUCUCAACCAUUGGAACAAGUAUGGUAGUACCUUUCCCACCUCUCUCUUUUCACAAAAAAAUGCCAAACAAAAAUUAAAUCUUAGAGGAAUGCUCAGAGACAAACCUCAACCGGCUACAUGAAAAAAAUUAGGAACUGCCAACGAACCAACAAAGAACCUGGACAGGCAAGGAAACGAGAAACAAAACUGUGUCAGCUCUCAGACAUUUUACCGAAUAGGAGACAAGGAAGAAAGAGCUUAGCGAGAAGCAAGCCAAACGAUGAACUAUGGACUGACCGAUCCUUCACCAACAAUGGAAGGAGUGAGCAAAAGAGGAAAACCAAGCACAUAACAUAGGAAACGUAGUGUAUAAUCAUAAUAGCUAGCUAUCUAAUGGAGAGGUAAGCACAUUAAAUUAGCUGACAGGGAAAACUUCAUAGGUUUUGCACCAGCCAAAUAAAAGAAUGUGCCUGUUGGGAAUAUUAGCACUGGGCGUAAACCGGCCAGGAGAGGCCGGGUUAACUCCAUAAGUAGUUCAUCUGUAUUUGAAGUCCAUGAAGACAGACGGUGACGCUUUAUGGAGGCCCAGGGCCCAAAGCCGGUUUAAGGCCUAUAGACAUAAACCGGCAUUGAUAUGUAAACUUGUAUUGUAAGAUAGAAGUAGCACAGACCGAGCCGGACACAAUUAUGAGCCGGCCUCGGGAUUCUGUAAACCGACGGGCAUCAACCCAUGUAUAUAAGGGGACGACCCGACGGCGGUUCAGAAACAACAGACAACAACUCAAGACUCAGGCAAAGCGUAUUCGCUUCCUGGUCAUCGAAACCCCAGCAAUUCCAUCACAACUAGACGUAGGCUUUUACCUUCAUCGUAAGGGGCCAAACUAGUAUAAAACUCUCUUGCGUCCCUUGUCCGCUUUAACCCCUUUAAGUUAACCCGGAGGGAUGGCUCCACGACUAAGUCCUUUCUCUAGGACAUCUGCCGUGACAAAACCACGACAGUUGGCGCCCACCGUGGGGCUAUCGCACGAUGGUUUCAAGUUCUUGGAGGGCAACUUCGAAGGACUCAAGGGUUACGCUGUGGUCCGGAUGACCAAGAGUUGUCGCGGCAAGCUCUACAUCGACGAUGCAGGCUGGGGCCCCGAGGCCGGCUCAAUCGAGUACGGGUACCGGGUCCCCUUUGGUGGCAUACACGUUUUCAUUGGCAAGAUCGGCGAACCGGGCCCUGAGCCGGACAUCUGCACCGACCUCGUCGAAAUGGCUCAGCAUGCGAGAUCUGCCCGGGUCAAGCCUGUCAUGAAGCGUGCCUUCGUGGGAGUUAUCCAUGGAGGGGAAUCUGAGGAUAGAUCGGAAUCUGGUGGUGAGACCGUCGUUUAUUCCGGCGACGAGUCAUCGACCGAAGAGACCGAGUCAUUAUAUCAGUUACAAGAUGGCCGGAUUGGGGGCUGUUCCGAUGGCGACAGUAUUCCGGACCCCUUUGAUCUACCAAACUGGGUUGCGAUCUUCACGGCCGGUACGCAACCGGCGCUCUACUCUUCGACCGCAGCGGCGAUGAUUUCCGGAUCGACAGCGGCAACAGCGGCUGGGGCAGGAGGCCCUGUGCGACCGCCAGCUCAGGUUCUAUCGGAUUUGUUUGACGCGUUGGCAACGCUGAUGGCGGAGGUUAACCCGGCGGAUCAGGAUGCACACAAUGCGGAAAUCGCGAAAGUGAAAGAUCAGACCACCCAGGCCAAAGCCGACUUAGCAGCUGAGGAUACCAGGAUGGCCGUGGAGGGGGCCGCUUUGGAUGCACAAGCUUACCAGAUUAUGCUGGAUCAGAGUGCGUCGAACAAAGUCCUGAAGAGGAGGUACAGAUCUCGCCUGUCGCCGGUUUAUGAUGCUAGAAAUCUCUUUAACACCCCAGGAGCAGGGACCAGUAAUCCGCCGGUGGUAAACCGGGCGGAGGCACCUGGAGCAGGGGCGCCGGUUCAGCCACGUUUGGUGGAUCCGCCUCGUCAGAGCAACAUUAUAACACCGCAUGUCCCCACGCCGCCGGGUCAUUACUCUAACCGGAUGGACAACAUUGUCGCUGCCGCUUCACAGCUGGCGGCCAUCCCGAUUGAAGGCGAUUCUCCGGCGGUGGUCGAGACGCGCCGGGUUAAGGAGCUUCUUCAGACAGCCUUGGUUCAACAGGAGGCUUAUUCAUAUAGUCGCGAUCGGAUUCAUUCCACUCCCCGUCUAAGCCGGAGUUACAGCAGGCGUAUGGAUGAACCGGUAGUGUCAAGCAAUGCGCGGAACCGUGAUCCGCCCCGUGGCAAUAACCCGGCUUGGUUGUAUCCGAACCAUAGCUACACCUCUUGAUCGGCGCAAUGCCACAUCAUCACUUGGGGGCUUGGUCGUAUCCGAACCACAGUCACACCUCUUGAUCGGCUCAAAGCCACAUCAAUCUGGGGCCAAAGAGAGUGUUGUAAAACAACAACUCAAACAUAGGCACCCACUGAGCACAGCUCACAAUGUUGCUUGGGGAUUCUUUGCUGUCGAAAUGAACUAAGAAUCUACACUUGUAACAGGCUAUCAAGCCAUGGCUUGGAAGCCUGGUGUAUAUACCUAAAACCCCGGGUUAACCUGCCUAUUUAAGUAAGUCACUCCGCCCAGGUAAACCUGCUAUGACCCUUCGAACUUUGACAAGUUACUCUAAAAUGAAGACCCUGAACUUGUCAAGUUAAAACGAUGAUUGGUUAAGGAUUGAGGACCAUCUUAAAAGGCUUUGCAAAAAUGGUUUAACUCAGUGGCCUGGCAGCCCAUGAAAAGCCUCGAAUUUGGGGCGUGGCAGCCCGUGAAAAGCCUCGACUACAACGGUUUUUAUUUGCCUUUUUCUAAGUUUUCUUUGUUUCAUAAGAUUUGUGAUGUUUUUACAACCGGUGUUUAUCAACCCGGUUAGGCUGUCAACUACAAGUUGUCAGUACACGAUCAAAUUAUAAUCCGGAGACUAUCAGCCCGGUCUGGUUUUGACUCAAAGUCACCAGUAUGGAAUAAACCAGUGUUUAUCACAGCCCGGAACGGUUUUCUGAUAAACCGGCAUCAUAUAAUAGGAGUUACUUCUACUCCGGAUUAGGGUUAUUACCCUCAUGACAAAGUUGGUCAACCAACACUAUGCCUAAAGGUCACAGGUAUCAUAUAUUUCCAUAUUUGGUUAUCUUUUACAACCUUGGUUAUAAACCUUGGUCAUAUAUAUAUUUGGGUAUCAUGACCCGCCCGGUGGUAAACCGCCAGGGCGCUUUAAGCUUCUUAUCUGCAGGAACAACUUGAAUAAAUAGCUAGGGAUUAUGAACAUUAUAUCUUAAGCAUGGCGGAUUAACACGCAUCAGUUGCAGAUAAAUAUGCACGAAGGCAUAACAGACCAAGUGUUUUAACUAGCCUAUUACAAGGCGUUUCAGUGCCCAAAGGGAUAAUUGUUUCUCAAUAAGCAUUGCAGCACGUGGAAGACUAAACCGGCCCCCGGAUUAUGAUUGCUUAUCAGCUUGACCUGACGGCUGCGGAUCAUCUUGCACCUGUUCAUAUUCUUCGUCUCUACCCAGUGGCUGGAAGUCAACAUUUGUCCAGUCGAUCCCAGUUAAAGCUUGGAACACAGCUUCGUCGCUUAUAAGGGUUGACGGUUCAAUAUCAGGGGCAUAAGUGUGCUUACGGAUUGGAGGGAUCAGAUUUUGUGCUUCAGGAGUUGGUGCAGCAACCCGUUUGUUAUUGGUGUCAUAGCUCGCCUGGUAAAAAGAAAGAUCAGCUUCUUCAGCCAGUUGACAAGCCAGUGGACGUACUUCCCAGUUUAUGGCGCGGAGAUCCUCCUGAUCAAAUUCUGAUCGGUCUUCUUUUAAGCUGGGAUAGCCUUUAGCCACUUCCACCGGAUCAAGGUCAGGUACCCAUGCUUUUGCCCGGGUUAGUGCGGUCAAAGAGCUCUUCUACCCGGGCAGGCAGCAUCGACAACCUUGAUAAGGUUUCCUUAAUUAAAGUGGGGGGAGGCUUGUUGUGUGAAGCGGCACAGAUGAUCCGUUGUGCACCGGUAUAUAACUGCUCUAUUAGCGUGUAGGCGGCUUUCAACUUCUUCUGUACAUCAGAGCCCAGAUGGCUAAUGCGAGUUCCUGCACCAUUGUACACAUCAGUAAACCGACAACACAUGGGAGAGAUAUGUUGAAAGUAUUAAGGAAAAUAUAUUUUACCGAACACAGCAGCAGUCAUGGCAUGAAUCUGCCGCUUUACGCCGGUCAGUUCAUCAACCACCGGUUUAAGAGCGGCUUCUGCUUUUUCAGCCCUUUUUAUCAAAGCGGAUUUUUCAGUCUCCCAAACCGCCCGCUCUUUGUUGAAGCCCUCUUUCAGUUUCUCCAUAGCACCUAGAGCGCAGGUCAAUUCUUCCUUCGCUUUGGAGGUUUCAGCUUGUAGGGACUUGAGGUUCUCUUGCAGAUCAGCGGUUUGGCUUUCCUUCUUGCUCAGUUCAGCCUAUAAAGACACAGAUAUAUAAUGAGUUGACAGUACAUAUUUGAAGUACCAAGCACAUAACAAGUUAUGCCCUUAGUACUUGGGGGCUAAUGCAUAUUUGCUCUUAAUCAAAAAAUUUUACAAGUCCCAAGCACAAUACAAGUAUUAAGCUUGGCACUUGGGGGCUAAUGUGUAUUUGCUCAUAAAAUGCUGAUAUGGGAAUUCUUCUACAAAGUCCCGGUUCAUCUUUAUAAAGUUAAACCGGCCCUUGGGGGCUACAUCAGUGAAGUUAAGAUGCAUUGUUGCAAACAUGAAAUUGUUACUAAGUCCCGGUUUAAAUUGGUAUCUUAAACCGUCACUCGGGGGCUACUGGAGUUGAUAAACUGCAAUUAAAUACAAGAGAGAAACACUUAUGAAGUUACCUCAUAUCGCUCCUUCAUCAUAUUUACCAAACCGGCUUCAUAGUCACGGCUGGUUUACAGACGGUUCAGGAAGCCAGAGUGAAGGUCUUGAGCAUUCAGAUGGGCAUAAUUUGACAAAUCGGCAUUCCAUUUGCCUUUGCCAAUUGCAGAGAGCUCAUCUUUGGAGUAUGCUUUGACAAAGCGACAGGAUUGCCCGGAGCGGUAUGGCCAGUGCCAGUAAUCAUAAUGUCAUCAUCUUUGUCAUCAGCAGCCGUUACUGGGGUUGGCGGUUUGUCAUUAUUUUUAACUGGACUUGCCGGUUUAUUGUCAGUCCGGACAGGGCUUGUUGGCUGGUCAGCAUGGCUUGUGGUGUCAACUUCUGCCUGCUCAGCAACGAAGUCAUGAUCUUGAGGCGGUGGGUCAUUCAGUAUGGCAUCAAUGUUGGUCUCUUCAGGAUCUGGAGUUUUCUCCAGUUCAACAGCCACGUCUUCAUCAGCCGGUUUAUUCAACCGAGCUUUCUUGCUGGGUCUGGGCUUGGCGCUGAGAAAAAUAAACAUGAGGAUCAGUACAGUAUAUCAAAAUAGCAACAUCAAGGAUAACAACAAGUGUAUAGCUCACCCAAGAACCGUUUUGAGGGGUGGAAGUUUUGUGGCCGACGACUCGCCAGAAGAUGAGUGAGAAGUGCCCUGAUAAUUUGAAUCAGACGGGUUAAGAGGCUGGCGGAAACAACCUGCUUUGGGGCAUGAAGUAUCAAUGGGAUAAGAGACCUCUGAUCGGUGUUUCUGAACCGGACUGUUCCGUAAACCGGCGGAGGCAACUACCUGGCCACUGUGCCGGGUUGUGUGGCGAGCCUCGUGCUGCUGCGUCUUCAAAAGAAAGUUUGGGUCCAAGUAAGCAAGGGGGUGAGAAAAUUUUACUUUCCGGUUUGCUUGACGGAUUUUUGAUGUUGGCAGAGGAUCUGAAUCGGCGGAAAGAAUGGUUACCUCUACGUCAUCAGCAUGACUGCCUUCAGCGUCGUCCUGAUAAUAAUCAUUGUCAAUGAGAUGUACGGAAAAUGAAUCAAGAGAGUCAAGUUCUACCUUUGAUUCCGGAUUACCCACAUCGUCAUCAGCUGGUAGCUCGGAGGAUGCAGUGGUCCUUUUCUUGGCAGGUUUUUUGAUAACCUUGGUCUUUGGUUGAACUGGCUUGACCGGUUUAUCUUGCGGCUUGACCGGUUUGUCUUGUGGUGGUUUCUUGCUCCAGAAUGGAUCAUCACCUUGUCAGAAAAUAAUCACACUUUCAGAGAAUAUUUGGACAAAAACAACUUCAGAUAAAAAGAUUAUAUGAUUCUUACAGCUGGCGGUUUGUUGAAAGCGCAGAAAGGGAGUAGUCCGGUUUGGGCACAGACAGCCUCCGUUUCGUUCAGCAUUUUCUUUACAGCCUCAGUGACUUCUGCAUCUGUAAGCUGAAUGUCAAUGUGCCGCUGAGCAUCCUUCAAACUCCCCGUAUACUCACACAUCAAACCGGAGUGCCGGCUUAAGGGCAGAAUACUCCAGCUUAUCCAGCAACGAGCAAGAUCAACUCCUGUCAAACCAUUCGCCAUGAAGGCUCUAAGCUUUGAUAAUUGGGGAGCAUAGUUGACCCUUUCUUUUGCCGUCAACCUCUGAGGAAAAGGAUGUGUGUUGCUAAGGCGUUCAGGGCGGUAACCCGGCAGGGGGUUUUCAUCAGGUGGAGAUGUAUCCAUGCAAUAAAACCAAGUCUGGUUCCACUCUUUGGGGUGACUGUGGAGUUUGGGAUCAGGGAAGGUGACUUCCUUCCUUUUCUGAACCGCCAUUCCGCCCAAUUCCGUAUUGGGUCCAUCCGAGAACUCUGUGCGACGGUUUAAGUGAAAGAAAUCCCUAAACAGUUCGACUGUAGGUUCCUCUUGCAGAUAGACCUCACAGAAGACUUGGAAGUGGCAGAUGUUGGUCACAGAAUUGGGACCGAUGUCCUGAGGGCGCAGCUGAAAAUUGGCUAGUACAUCUCGGAAAUUUUUUGAACCGGGAGGGCUAAAACCUCGACUCAGAUGGUCAGCAAACACGACUACCUCUCCGUCCUUGGGUGUAGGAGGAUUUUCCGGGCCAGGGACCCUCCAGUGGAUGACAUCUUUCUUGGCUAAAGCGCCCGUUUUAACAAGAUUGUUUAACUGUUCUUCGGUUACUCGAGAAGGAGCCCAAUUGCAUUCAUAGAUUUGCUUAGCCAUGGCAAUGAAAGAUCUGAAACAUGAUUAUUGCCGGUUUAAGAUUUACAGUGGACAACUAUACAACGGUAUAAGGAUACAAGCAUAUUGAUAAACCGGAUUUGGUUAUUCAUAAACCGGAGUCUGACAAUGGAAACAAUGUAAUGCAUUGGCGGUUCAACAGGGGACUAAUGGUAUCUACCGGGUCAUCAUUUUUUCUGUGAAGGGCAUUAAAGGUAUAAGUAUCAAGAUGUAUAAGUGAAGGAAAAAAACAAGUUUCACAGUUUGGCAUGGGAAUUUCAGAUCCGCCGUGCGUUGGAUAAUCAAAAUAUACUUUGGUCUAAUAUCAAACGCUCAAAAAGUUCAGUAAGUUCAGAUGAGCUGGAUAUCAAGCAGGUGCCUUAACAAGAAGAAAGGAUUCUAAACUACAAAAGGCGCUGAAAAUAGUCAGAUCUAACCGGCCAUUGGUGCUACCGAAGGAAGAAUAGCUUCAAGCUAUGAAGAACAUCGAACCCUAAUGGCGGAUCUAGGGCGAGAAGAAGAGGGGCUUACUGGUGCAGGAGGAAGCAGCGGAGGAUCACCGCUUUUCUCUGAUACGAGCAGGUUGAUGCAGCGGCCUUUGUCGAAGCAGAGACGAAGGACGACGACGGUGGCAGAGCUCGAGGGUCGGUCGGCGCGAGGAAGACGACGGCGCGAAGAGGCACGAGGGGGGAAAAUGGAAAGACCCCCUGGCCCUAUUUAUAAGGGUAGAAAGAUAAGCGUCAGGCGCGAAAAUCGAGGAGCCUAAAUUUUGGAUAUGAGGCGGAGCUGUCGCCUCGAUUGUCGGAGGCUCAUUAAUGGAGGUGGAUUAUACACAGUUUUAAGUAACAGGUGAUGUCAUGGCGGUUUACCAUGAUCCUAGAAGAUGAUAUCACGGCGGUUUACAAGAUCAUAUGAAGAUGUUGAAGAAGAAAAUUUCUUAAGUAUUGAGGAUUGACAUGAACCAGUUCAAAUCAAUCUGGGGCCUAAUGUUGGGGAUAUUACCACUGGGCGUAAACCGGCCAGGAGAGGCCGGGUUAACCCCAUAAGUAGUUCAUCUUUAUCUGAAGUCCAUGAAGACAGACGGUGACGCUUUAUGGAGGCCCAGGGCCCAAAGCCGGUUUAAGGCCUAUAGACAUAAACCGGCAUUGAUAUGUAAACUUGUAUUGUAAGAUAGAAGUAGCAGAGACCGAGCCGGACACGAUUAUGAGCCGGCCUCGGGAUUCUGUAAACCGACGGGCGUCAACCCAUGUAUAUAAGGGGACGACCUGGCGGCGGUUCAGAAACAACAGACAACAACUCGAGACUCAGGCAAAGCGUAUUCGCUCCCUGGUCAUCGAAACCCCAGCAAUUCCAUCACAACUAGACGUAGGCUUUUACCUUCAUCGCAAGGGGCCGAACUAGAAUAAAAUUCUCUUGCGUCCCUUGUCCGCUUUAACCCCUUUAAGUUAACCCGUAGCGAUGGCUCCACGACUAAGUCCUUUCUCUAGGACAUCUGCCGUGACAAAACCACGACAAUGCCCAUGCGGUUUGCCCACAUUAGAUGCAUACAUAACUAAAACUCCUAGUAUAUGAUCCAUGUCCUGCUCGAUGGCCUUGGAAUUUAAGAAUUGAGCUCCAGGUUGCCCAUAAAAAGGACACUAAAAGAACUCACAACUGCAACAAAGUGGCAAGCCCUGCUUAAGAAAAAUGCAGCAACAUCACAAACAAAAAGAAGAAUCGAAAGAUUAUAUAUAUGUACUUGCUUUCUCUGUAUCUAGAGUUGCAGCCUACCCUCGCUCAUCGCAGGAACAGCAGUAGAACCGUUGCUUCCAAAAAUUGGAAAAAGGACUGUAUUUGUGCUUCUAAUCUGAGCUUCUACAUUAUCAAAUUCACUCUGCACAUACUCUUUUACACCCAUUGUUCCACUCAAUAAUCGUGUUCCUGCAAGCAUGGGCUAGAGGCAUAAAAAUUCAAUAACCACUAAUCCACGAAAAACGAAGCUCGAGUCUCGACAGCUCCAAAUUUUCAAUUCAGCCAACAUCAAGACUCUGGAGUAUAACUCAAAUGGUCAGAAAGUUCGGGGCACCAUAAUGGUUCAGCACAAGUAGUUAGCACUCACCCUUCAUUCCGUGAAAAUGGACAUAUGUUACAUAUAAUGCAGUAAUGUGUUAACAGAUUUCUUCUCGUUGCUCUUGGGAGACAGACCUACGUGACACAAAUAUAGAAGAUCGUAUAGAACCAAGAUCAAUUGUGAACUAAUUCAGUCUUCAUCUAUCUGCAACAUUAUCAUCCCACAAAAAAAACUAAUUAUACCACCAUAUGUUUAUACUAACCACAUCAGAAAGAUAUUAGAUCAAAACGGCCAAGAAAGCAUCAAUGAAGUUUAAAGAGUCUACCUUCUAGAUCAACAUUGGAUUGUAGACUUGAUAGCGAAAUCAGUUAUUGCAAGAGCAUGAUCCAGCAGAUCAUUUUUUAUACCUAGAACAUGACCUUAGUUACAAUCAUCUGUCAAGAACAAUUUCAUAUCUGCAUUUAGUCAUACAAACAAAUAGAAUCCUAUAUUUUAAUGAAUGAGGGAAAACAAGAUAAAGCCAAUUUGAAACCGGUAUUAAAAUGACAUCACGCAUAAAAGGACCUUCUCUAGCCCCAUGAUGCAUCGAUAUCUGAGUACCACAGGAGCUCUAACAUCUGAAUGGAAAAAUCCAAAGACCACAUCACUAAAUAGCUCUCAUAUUUGAACUAAAUCAUUUUCUUUCAUUAUAACAAUUAGUAGUCUACGAAUUUAUAGAAGUCGAAGCGGUACAAAUAAAAGUGAAAUCACUGUUAUAAUGGCACCUUACCAUCCACAAAUCAUUAGCUGUAUAGUCCUAAUGCAAAAUUUACAACAUAAACUUUCUAGAGCAGAGAAUGAAGAAGACUCAGCGAUUCUGAAAUUACUAAUAUGGUAUGAAUUGUUUCCUAGGGAUUAGUAUAGAAACACAUUUAGAUUCAAGAAAACAGCUGAAAGUGACGACUUCUCUUCUAAUAUGUGUGAUAAUUUGAACUCCUGGAACUCGAGAUACUAACAAUUUUUAAACAAGUUUAAGAAAGUGAACUAACAGUGUUUCAUUAGACUCAAAAAAUCAAACCAUUUAGUUGAGUAGUGCUUCUUUUAUCAUCAGCACAUACACCUGCUAAUAAUCAGCUUAUGAAUUAUCCAAAGGAAUCAAUAAUGUCAGGCACCUUAUAUUUAGAUAAGUAUCCAGGCAUCUCAAUGGGGACCUGCAGGUCGCCGUUGAGGUCCUGUCCAGGCAAACGCCGCGGAGGUCCGUUCCCGACACACAAAAGGGCCGACAAGGAAGGA